rnacentral:rRNA from 1 species
AAGCGGAGGAAAAGAAACUAACAAGGAUUCCCCUAGUAACGGCGAGUGAAGCGGGAAGAGCUCAAAUUUGUAAUCUGGCACCUUCGGUGUCCGAGUUGUAAUCUCGAGAAGUGUUUUCCGCGCCGGACCGCAUAUAAGUCUGUUGGAAUACAGCGUCAUAGUGGUGAGAACCCCGUAACUGAUGCGGAUGCCCGGUGCUUUGUGAUACACUUUCGAAGAGUCGAGUUGUUUGGGAAUGCAGCUCAAAUUGGGUGGUAAAUUCCAUCUAAAGCUAAAUAUUGGCGAGAGACCGAUAGCGAACAAGUACCGUGAGGGAAAGAUGAAAAGCACUUUGGAAAGAGAGUUAACAGUACGUGAAAUUGUUGGAAGGGAAACGCUUGAAGUCAGACUUGCUAUUUGGAGUUCAGCCGCAAGGUGUAUUCUUCGAUUUGCAGGCCAGCAUCAGUUUUCUGGGGUGGAAAAGGGUAUUGAGAAGGUAGCAGUUUCGGCUGUGUUAUAGCUCUUUGCUGGAUUCAUCCUGGGGGACUGAGGAACGCAGCGCGCUUUUUGCAAGGCCUUCGGGCUUUUCGUGCUUAGGAUGCUGGUGGAAUGGCUUUAAACGACCCGUCUU